CAGUAGCCGCGGGAAUACGAAGGGGGCUAGCGUUGUUCGGAAUUACUGGGCGUAAAGCGUGCGUUGGCGGUGAGUUAAGUCUGCUGUGAAAUCCCCGGGCUCAACCUGGGAAUGGCAGUGGAUACUGGCUCGCUAGAGUGUGUCAGAGGAUGGUGGAAUUCCCGGUGUAGCGGUGAAAUGCGUAGAGAUCGGGAGGAACAUCAGUGGCGAAGGCGGCCAUCUGGGACAACACUGACGCUCAUGCACGAAAGCGUGGGGAGCAAACAGGAUUAGAUACCCCGGUAGUCCCUGUCUCUUAUAC
rnacentral:rRNA from 1 species